rnacentral:lncRNA from 1 species
ACAGAUGAGUGAUUUAGUUAUUAAAAGUAAUUAAUUAUAGAAUUACAGUUAAAAUCUAGAGAAUUAAGGAAAAAUAUAUAGGAAUUAUAGAAGUUAAUUAGGGUGCCAGAUUGUGAGAGUUAUGAGCCGAGGGGGCCAGACUGUGAGAGUUAUGAGUUGAGGGGGCCAAAUUGUAAGAGUUAUGAGCUGAAGGGGCUAAACUAUGAGAGUUGUGAGCCGAGGGCCAUCGUUGUGAUAGUGUGAGCCGGGAUAAGCUUGGUGCUACCUCUUUUCUUUUGUUUGUUAUUUUCUUUGAAUAAGAGGAUUGAAAGUUUCUGAAUAUUGUGAAGUGAAUUAUAGAAUGGAAAUGUGAUUGAUAUUAUUUGAGAAGAAGAAAGAUUGAAUGUUGAAAUCUGAUUGUAGUUCAGCAAAGAGAAUGAGUCUGUAUUUGUGUGAAACACUGUAAUCAGAAUGGCAGUUCUCUGUGAAGAAUUCCAGUAAUUAGAACGAGGAUAAUUGUGUGCUGAAAGCUAUUAAGGCGCAGUAUUACAGUUGGAGAUUAUGAGGGUGAAUAUAUUAGUGAAAAUAGGAGUUAUUAAUAUGACUGAAUUGCUAUAAGGAAGAGAUCGAUAAGAUGAAGGAGGAGAUUAUAGUUUCCUUGUGUGUUCAGGUAUUGGAAAUAGAGACGAUACAUUCAGGAGGUAAUUGAUUGUAAGACCCUAACGUUAAUGCUUAAGUAAUUAGUCAUUCCCUGUGUUUGAAUCCAACUAUACGGGUUUAUGCUGGGAGGUUUCUUCCAAAAUAAGUAAAACAAGCAAUCACAAUUAUAUAGAACAGGAUAAAUAAAAUCCAUGUCGAGAAGUUUAUCUAAUUCCUCUUUCAUUAAAAGGGGAUAUUUUGAGUUAAGCCGGUGUUAUCUUUGACAAACUAGCAUAUCACCCUCUUCCAGAAUAAUCUGGUGCUCACACAUAUCAACUGGAAUUCCUUUCAAAUCCGCAUAUGACCACGCAAAGGCGGAUUUGUGAUCAACAAAAAACUGUUUCCAACCAUCCACUUCUGUAUUUAUAAUACCGGCAUAUAUUUUAAUUUGCUGUGGCAUUUUGUUGGUGCCUAGGUUAAUGGAUUGACACAUAGGGUCUUCUACAACCUCUGAUUUAAUUAUCUUCUUCUGAUCUAAAUAUCUUAUAUUAUUCGACAUAUAGGAACUAUCCAAUUCUGGUUCCUAUGUGUUGACUCUAUUGAUUGUAAGAUUGUUCAUCUAUUCGGCAAUAGCAUGAUCAAAGUUUGCAGCAUCCUCCAGAUAAACAAAAUAUUCUCUGAGUCCUCGAUAUUGGUAGGAUACUUCUUCCUUACGUAUGCAAAUUGGAUCAUUGCUGAUUUGCAUUGCAUUAGUAAUUUCAUCAUGGUUAUCCUCAAAUUGACCCUCCUCAUCAGAUGUCACUUUCGAGCCUAGAAUUUUAGAUUUUCCAUGAUAUUGGACUGGAUACAUUUACAAAACAAUUGUUGCUCUUUCCUUUUCGAUAGUUAGCAUUCCACAGUCCCAAUCAUUUUUAGCUUUAGCUUGGUAUAACUAUGGCCAUCUCAAUAAAAUUGGAUAUGAUAAUGUAGAAUUUUGUAAGCUAAAAAUGAUAUAAUCAAUUUUAUACACAAUCCCUGCUACAGUAGUGUCAAUACUGUGAAGAAUAUCCAUAGGCUUAACUCGACUAUGGUCAGUCAUUCUUAAUAACAAUGACAUGGAUAACAACUUAGUUAAAUCCAGAUUUUUCAUCGUUUCCAUCAUCAUUAAAUUUACACUUGAGCCCCCAUCCACUUGAACUCUAGAAAUAAGGACUCCAUCGAUGGAUACAUCAAUAGUUGGUGCUCCUAGAUCAAGGUUCAAAUUGACUUCUCAAACUUCUUUACACUGAGCUCUUCAUCGUAUUAACGAAGAAUUCAACAUAAAAUGACAUUCUAGCGCUACCGCUAAUAGUUGCUUCAUUGAGAUUGAUAGUUUGAUUUCAUUCAAAUCCUUCAAUAUAUCAUACGGUUCCAUAUUUGUAGUGAUUUCCAAAGCCCUUUUUUUUUCAUGGAUUUCACUUUAACUCCUAUCAAUACCUUAUCUUGCUUCACAGAGUCUCACACCGGAAUCAUUGAAUAAGCUAUUUUGUAUUGUUUCACCUUGAGAGGGUCUUUCAGUGAGUAAGGCCGCUCCUUAUCCUUUGAGGGUAAUAGAAUUAGUUCAUGUUGGGUCAAUACUCUCAUGCCAGAACCAUCAUUGGGCUGUUUUGAUGAUUCAGGUACAAUUAUUGGAUUUGAGUCUGAUUGUCCCUUAGAAAUUGGUUCCUCCAAUUGUGAAAUUGGAUCUUUUUUAUUUUGCUUGGCCCUUGUAAGCAUGGUAUGCAUGCAUUCGACCCGAUUUACUGAGCAAUCUUAUGGACCUCGAUUAUUCUCCUCUAGUUUAUUCUACAAUUGAACUUGCUAGUUUUGAUUAUUGAAAUUAAAUGGGGCAUUGUACUGCUAAUAAGUAUAUCAUGAUUACUUACAAUUUCCAUACAUGGGAGCAUAGUCAUUACUUGCUCUUGGAUUGGGACAUUCACUAGCAUAAUGUCCGAUCUAUCUACAAUGAUAAUAUUGAAGUGGUCUCUUUUCAACACCAUUAGGAAUAUUGGGAUAUCUAUUGGGAUGUACCGGCUCGGCCUGUUCCAGAUCGGAUGGAUAAAUGAUCCCGAUUAUCUAGUUGGUAUUGUAGAAUCCGAAUUUGAUUGCUGAAAGGGUUGAUAUUGAGAAUAUCCUUGUUGGUUUUCUACCAUUCUUUGAACAUUGGUUCCGUAUUUCUGAUUGUAUACCUAAUUUUGAAAUUUGGAAAAAUUUUUAUUCGGCUUAUUGGAACAAUUCCCGUUCCAGCCAAACUUAUUUUUUGUUUGAAUUUGGUUAACGUCCCACAAAGUCGAUUGGAUCAUUAUCUGGUUACUGAGUUGUUGUUGCUUCCAUAAAUUCCAACAGUUGGUGGUAAUAUGCUUGCCCCCACAAAAGCUACAUUGUACACUCAUUUGGGGUGGUGAAGGAUAUUUUGUUACUAAAUGACCUUGCCCCUUACAAUUGCUACAUCAGACAUUGGGACGCAUAUUAGUUGGUUUAUACCUCUUUUCUUUGUCUUUUGCUAAGUUGAUAGCUAGUUCUUCCAUUUUCUUUGUCAAAGUUAUCAACAAAGUCUCAUUUGGAUCCUUUGAUCUAGUUUUACUUGAUAACUCUUUCGUAGAUAUUAUUUUUUGAUAUAGGGAAUAUAGGGAAUAUAAAAUUACAGUUUUUGGUAGUAUAUUCUAUAAUGAAACAUCGUUCACUACUUUGUGUGGAUUAAUACUAAGGUUUGUAUCGUAAUCCAGCAUUCUUGGGUAACUGCUCCUAGUUUCACUCCAGGUUAGUAUUGGGUAACUUGCUUGAGAUGGAAUCAUUGUAGCUCUAGUGGUUAAGAAUUGGUGAUAGUGACAUUCUUUCCACACCUUUGCUCGUACUAGUGAAGAAGCAACAGUGGUCAGUUGGCCCUCCUUCACAAAUAACUUUAAUUUUAUUAAGUAAAUUCUGUUAACUAAUAUGGAUAAAAUAAACAAAUCACGCAUUUGAUUAUUUGGCCAUUUAUUAAGAAUAUUUGCUACUCGACCAUAAUAUGAUUAUUUGGCUUUUCUAGGUACCAUUCUACUAUUCAUCAAUCUUUCCGUAAGUAGAUCUUCAAAUCCAAUUGAUCAAAAAUGGGUUAAAAAUGUAUUUUUUAAUACCUUCCAAUUAGGAAAUUGACCGACGGGCUAGCGAUUAUACCAUUCAAAUGUUGUUUCUUUUAAUAUUGCUGGCAACCAUCUUAACCAAAUAUCUUCAGUUCUGCUAUUAUUCGCUACUUAUGCAAUCAAAAAUUGUGAUAAAUAUUGAUCUGGAUCGGCUCCUGGUAAACCUCUAAAAGUAAGUAAUGGAGCCACGUUAGUUGUGCGAUCUCCCGCCGCACCCAUUUGGACUGCAAUUGGAACUAUUGGUCCUCCAAAUGCCAUUAAAGAUGCUAGUGUUCUGCUCAAUUCCUUAUUAAAAUAAAAAUUGUCUCCCGCAAAAGUCUUUUUCAGACUUCUAGGCCUUCCAGAUUGACUAUUAUUAUCUCCAAAUAAUUUUACUGGUUGAAUAUGAGGUGAAAACGAUGGAUUUUGAUAUACUCUGAAUUAAUCUUUAUUGGCAAGUGAUUUAUGCUGAUCUUCAAAAUCAGUCUUGUUAGAAUUGGACGUAUCUCCAAUUGAAAAAAUAUCCAAUGGGAUAUCUAAUUCCUGUGUGCCUUCCUCGCUUUCCGUUAACGGCUUCGAGAUGUAUGUUGGACUAUUAACAGUGCUCUCCACGAGUGCUCUUGGCAAUUUUUUUAACGGUAUGUACUUCUGAAAUAUUAGAGGUCGAUCAUCUUUUAGGUACGAUCGAAUAUGCCGAUAGGCAUGCAACUAUGGCUUAAUCCAACUUUGUCGAUGCUUCUUUUUCAAUUUACAAUCUCGCUUGUUACGUAACAAAUUUCUUGCUUAUGAUCUUUUUGUUCUUUCCUUUGAUUGCUUUAUUCUAUUUGCUAUUAAAUUCUCAUUCUUAAUAACCAUACUCUUUCAUUAUUUCUACUGAGUUUGCUUCAUAAUCUCCUUUAUUACUUUGACAGUUAAUUCCUAACACUCAAUAAUAUUAUCAAUCUCAGAAAGCGGUGCCAAAAUGUGAUUAUCGUUUUACUUAUUCCGAAAGAAACCUCCCAAAAUAAACUUGUAUAGGAGAAUUCGAACACAAGGAAAGACUAAGCGCAUGAGUUUUACUUGUUAGGAUCACAUAAUUAAUUGUAUUCCAAACCACUAAAAGACUAAAAAAUACUACAAUGCUUCGUCUUAGUAACAAUACUCCUCUAUCAACUGAUAACCAUAGUGUGCAACCUUGUACUCUCAAAAGAUCGCUCAAAACUCAAUAAAUUCCAUCCAAUACUAGAAAUAAUAAACUUCACUUCAACCAAUCUGAAUUCACAGAAUUCCUGUAAUCACAGACUUCCUCUGUCGAAACACACACACACACAACUCUCAAUAAACAAUAAUCAUAAUCUUCCAUCCAUAAUCAAUCGUUCAAUUAUUUCUCAUAUAAUUCAAUCACUUGAUAUUCUAAUUAUAUAAUCAAUAACUCAUAAAUCAAUCUCUGAUUUAUUCCACAGACUCACUUCUCAGUAUUCAAAAACUAUCCAUUAUUCUUCAACAACAAAGAAAAUAAAAGAAACAAAGAGGAAGCACCAAGCUUAACCCCGGCUCAUGACUAUCACAAUCUGGCAUUUUCUUCUUCUCUCCCAUCCUCCUUAUACUAUCCUGAGAUACCAACUCCUAUACUAUGGAUGAUAACUACUUUUCUUGACUAUUCAUCCAUUCUACCUGCUAAACCACCUUUUCAGUAAUUAUCUAUCCUUGUUUAUACUAUACACUAGAUAUCUACAUUCUGCAAAUAACUACUUAUUCUACACAAGGAAAGAAAAUUCAGUUGCAGAUAUGUUAUCAAGACAAAGGUAUAAUAAUGAAAAAGAGAUGAUUGAUUUGGAAGAUGAUGUGGGUACAAAAUUUUAUAAUAAUACAUUAUCAAAAGAAAAAUGUGUAUGUUUGAAUAUAUCAUUGGAAAUAUUUUUAAGAGAUUUAUAUAAAAAUGAAUGAAAAGAUGUUGGAGAGUAUUCUAGCAUAUUAAAGUGACAAAAAGGUUGGACAGAUCAAGAAUUCAAGAAAAUCCGUAAGAAAGCCUAUGGAUAUUUUUUAUAUGAUGGAUAUUUAUGGAAGCAUCUAAAAAAGAGUGAGAAGUACCACAAAAGAUGAUAUGUAGUUUAGAAGCUCAACAAAGGAAUAUUAAAGAAUUUCAUGAAAAUUUAUGGACGAGUCAUCGAGGUAUUUGGACAACAUUUACUAAGUUAAGAAAAAAAUAUUGAUAGAAGGAAAUGUAUGAAGAUAUAGAAAAUUUUUUAAGAUCUUAUGAGACUUACCAAGUGUAUUCAAAUAUUUGGCAUUGAGAUGGAUUACAUCCAAUAUAUCCUUUGGCUUUAUAUUACAAGUAGGUGGUGGAUUUAGUGACAAUGCCUAUGGGACUUGGACAAAUGAAGUAUUUGGUAUUUGCAAGAGAAGAUUUAUCAAAUAUGGUUGAAGGAUGAGCAUUAAGAACAAAAGAUACUAAAAAUGUAUAUCGAUUUCUAUUAGAAGAGGUAAUUUGUCACUAUGGUUGUAUUGAAAAAAUCACGGUAGAUAGGAGUGAAUUGGAUGCAAAGGAAGUAUGAAAAUUCUUUAGUAGAAUAGGAAUUAAACUUUCUUUAACAAUAAUAUAUAAUCCAGAAGAUAAUUGUAAAAGUGAGCAUGGACAUUCACCUAUUGUUAAAGCAUUAGUAAAAGCAUGCAAUUGCAAAGCAUAUGAAUGGCCUAGACUACUAUCAUUUGCACUAUGGAUAGAUCAUACAAUUCAUAGUUCAGUAACAAGUUAUAUGCCUUCUGAAUUAAUAUAUGGACAAAAACAAGUAAUGCCAAUAGAAGAUAUAGUACCUACAUGGGAUGUAUUGCCCUGAAAGAAUGAUCUCAACAGAGAAGAACUUUUAGCAUUACAAAUUCAACAACUAGAAAGAAGACCUAAUGAUAUUGAAGUAGCAAUAGAAAAAUUGAAAGAAGCAAGGGACAAGAAUAAGGAAAGAUUUGAUAAAAAGCAUCGACUAUGACCUAAGGCAAUUGAAGUUGGUGAUUAGAUAUUAAUUUAUGAUAGUAGCUUAGAUAAUCAACAUAGCACUAUGAAAAAGUUUGCAAAGAGAUGAUUUGAACCAUAAAUUCUCAAAAGGGCAUACAACAACGGAACAUAUUCAUUACAAGAACUUAAUGGUACAGAAUUGGAGGUACUCAUAGUAGGCAAACGAAUCAAGUUAUUUAAACAAAGAGAUGAAGACAUUUGUUGUGAUGAAGAACAAACUCCAAUACAAGAUAUUGAGAUUGGAAUAGAAGAGCAUAUUAAAGAUCAAGAAUUAGAUCAAGAUGUAGAACAUUCUACAUCAACAUAUUGAAGAAUUAUUGACGCAUGCCAGAGGAUGCACAGAUUUAGGGAGGAGGGAUGUCAUCAUGUAACACGAAUAAUAGGUAAAAGAGUGUCAAAAUUAUUAUAAUGUAAGAGAUCUUAGUUUAAAGUAUUACAGCAAAUUAUCUUAGAAAUAUAGUUAAUAGUCAAAAGGGUGGUAAAACUAAAAGGUACCAAUGUUUCUUUUUUAGAAAGGUGACCUCUACUUACUUUGUAGCACCAUAAAUAAGGUAAAAUAAAGUAGAUUGGAAAAAUAAAUGAUAUAAGUAUCUUGACAAGGAAAUUAAGAUUAAAUUCUAAUAAAAUUUACUUAGAAAAACUAGAUAUUGAUACCCAAAGAGGGCUGGCUAUCAACCUAAAUCAAAAUCAGACCCUAAGGCACAAAACUAAGUCUCGACGAUGACUCCGAGGUUCUUUAGCAAAUUAGAGAGUGGAGUUUGAUAGCAAACUGAAUAAGAUUUCUAUAAGCAUUGGUUUUGGAUGAUUUGAAGUUAUUAUGACUUUGUAAGGGCUUUACUAAUUAAGAUUGUUUUUGGAUGAUGUGGAUUUUAUAAAAUAAAAUAGGAUUUAUGUUUCUAGUAAUUUCAAGAAGUUUGUAACAUAUCUACAAGUUAAAUAUUGUGGAUUAAUGGUCAUAGGUGUAUUCAAUAUGUGUUGUGAAUCUUAGAUUGAUCUAACAAUUAAAUUAAGGGUUAUUGAGGUUUAAAUGAGUCAACGGUUGAGAAAGUAGAAUUUUAGGUCCAAUGAAGGUUUUUUAGAUUUCUUGCAAUCUAUUAGUUGGAUUGAAGUGAAAUUUGUGUGAGAAGAAAUAAGACUUUAUUUUUUAUGUAUUUGAAAGUUUUGAGAUCAAUUAAAUGGUAGAAAGAAGAGAUAUUGGCUUUGGGAGAUCAGCAUUAAGGUUGGAGAUGGAAGCCGUCCAAUACUCGAGUAUGUUUUUGAGGUUAUCAUCUAUCCUUUGAAGUAAUUUCAAUCCUUUUCAAAAAAAUUGAGCUUGUUUUCAACUUAAUUUUUAAGAAGUAUGCAAAAUUUGAAUUAAUAUCAACUAUUCAUUAAUUUGUUAUUAAAGAUUAAUUUUGUUGUAUAAAUUAUUAGGAUUUGAUUAGGAUUUGAUUUAAGAUUAGGAUUUGGUUACGAUUUGAUUUAGAAUUAGGAUUUGAUUAGGGUUUGAUUUAGGAUUUAGGAUUAGGAUUAGAAUUUGGUUAGGAUUUAUUUUAGGGUUAGAAUUUGGUUAGGGUUUGAGUAGGGUUUGAUUUAAGAUUAGGAUUUAAUUUAAGGUUUAGGAUUUGGUUAGGAUUUGGUUUAGGAUUUAGGAUUUGAUUAGGAUUUGAUUUGGGAUUAGGAUUUGGUUUAGGAUUUAGAAUUUGGUUAGGGUUUGGUUAAGAUUUGAUUAGAAUUUAGUUAGGAUUUGAUUUAGGAUUUGAUUUAAGAUUAGAAGUUUGAUUUAGGAUUUGAUUUAAGAUUAAAGGUUUAGUUUAGGAUUUAGGAUUUGGUUAGGAUUUGAUUUAGGAUUAGGAUUUGAUUUAAGAUUUAGAAAUUGAUUAGGAUUUGAUUUAGGAUUUAGGAUUUGAUUUAAGAUUUAGGAUUUGAUUUAGGAUUUAGGAUUUGGUUUAGGAUUUUAGGUUUAAUUAGGAUUUCAUCAGGAUUUGAUUUAGGAUUUAGGGUUUUUUUUGAGAUUGUUUAAGAUUUAAGAUUUACUCAGUUUUUGGCCUAAAGUUGGAAUGAAAUAAGAUUUCAACUAGGAUAACAUUAAGAUUGAAUUGAUAUGUAUUUAAAAUAUGUUUGUAAUCAUUUUAAUAUUUCAUUAAGAUUUCUUAUUGUUUCUUUAGAAUUCCUUUGAAGUUUCUCUGAAUUUGAUUAAAGUUCAUUUAGCAUUGUUAGUAUUCUAUUAGAAUUAAGAUUUUAUUGUUAUAAUUUCUAUUCUACCUUCCACAGCCAGGUGCUCAAAGCAUUCUUAAGCAAGAUUUUACGUAUUACAACAACGAUGAAGUGAAAAAAUUUACAGAUGAUAAUAGUGGUCAGCUACAAGUAACAAUGUUGCUAGUUUCCAAAGUUUCAGAACGAAUAAGUCAGUAUCAGCACCAAUUAGAAUUGAGAGAUGCUCAAAUCCUAAAAUUGGAGGCUUAAGUUUGUGAAUUAGAAGAGUACAAUGAAGACCUUUGAGCCCAAUUGAAGAAAGAGCUGAUGGAAGAAUUGGAGGAGGAUGAAGGUUUGUAUUUGGAACCAAAAUUGGUGGAACCAACAAUAGAUAACACGAAAGUUGAUCAAUUUGGUGGGCCAGAGGGAUAGCAAUUUUAUAGAGUUUUGUUAAGUGUUUUUUUUUUUUUAAAUAUGUAUCAAUUCUACAUUUGUAAAGAUGCUGCAUAAUUAGGAGUGGAACUAUGUAGAAUGGAUAGAAUUUUUUUUUUAUAAGAUAUGGAUAAAGUAGAUUAAUUAGUCCUGGGAUUGUCAAUUUAAUAAGUUGGAUGAUUGAAUUAGUUGUGAAAAAUGGUUAAGUAAAGAAUGACAGUUAGAAUCUGGAAUUUUAGAAGUAAAGCAUAAGUAAGUUGAAGAAGAUAUUGGAGGGACUAGACAAGGAUAGUCAUGAGCUGAGGUAAGUUUUGUGCUACCUCUUUGUUCUCUUUGUUUUCUUUGUAGUUGAAGAGUAAUGGAUAGUUUCUAAAUACUAUAAAGUGAAUCUGUGGAAUAAAUCAAAGAUUGAUUUAUAAGAUAUUGAAUAUGUAAUUAAAGUACUGUGUGAUUGAAUUAUUAUGACAAGAUAUUAAAAGUUUGUUAUCAGAUUUUAUAGAAGAUUGAUUUUAGAUGGAAGAUUAUGAUUGUUGUUAAUUGAGAGUUGUGUGUAUUUUGACAAAAGAAGUCUAUGAUCAUAGUAAUUGUGUGAAGCAAGAUUGGUUGAAGUGAAAGACUAUUAUUUCUAGUAUUAGAUGGAAUUUAUAUAUUUUGAAUAGUCUUUUGAAAGUGCAUGAUUAUACAUUGUUAUUAUCAGUUGAUGAAGGAGUAUUAUUAGUGGAAGAAAGCAUUGUAGUAUUCUUUGGUAUUUUAGUGAUUUAGAAUAUGAUUAAUUGUGUGAUACUAAUGUAUAAGCUCAUGCAGUUAGUCUUUUCUUGUAUUCAAAUCUCCUUCUACAGAUUUAUUCUGAAAAGAAUUUGUAGAAUAAGUAAAAUAACAUCCAUACUAAAUUAGAUAGAGAUUUAAUUAUAUUAAAAAUUAUGUGACUAUUAUGACUAUUUAUUACUACAUCUAUAAGAAGUAUUCUAUGAAGAACAUCUCCAAAAGAUAACGGAUGACCAUCUAUGAUUUCUAUGUAUAUAAGUUUAGUUUUUUGUAGUAACUAUAUAUUAUGACUUUUAAUAAAUUCUUCAUCUAAAUUAUAAGCUGAGGCUCUUAAAUCUAUAAAAGCACAUGCUUUGUGAUUAUUAGAUCCUAAAUUCACAUCUAUUAUAAAACAAGGAGAGGAUUUUGAAGAGAGAAUAAAUCCUUCAUUAAGAAUUGUAUAAGAUUCUAGCCACAUGGUCCCUAUUAUAGCUAGACAAAUUCGUUAUUUGACAUGUUUUCAUCUUUGACAGUAAUACUUUAUAUGUUGUAGUUGUAUCAUUUCUUUGGACAAUAUUGAAUAGUGUGCUUAGCUUUUCUACAAUAUAAACAUAGUCCUUUUUGACAACAAUAAGUCUUUUUUUGUUUAAUAAGAGAUUUAAAAUGUACUAUAUCAAUUUACAUGUCUUCUACUUUCAAAUAUUUAGAUUAAGAAGUUAUUGUAGUUAUCAUUGAAUUGUAAUAAUGUUGAGGUUUCAUUGUACAAUUCUCAAAUCAAAACUCAAAAAGUUGAUUAUCAUAUUUUAUAGCAAAAUCAAUUUCUUGACUUGAUGUCUAAAGAUCAAGUAAAUUGAGCAUUAAUUUCUUAACUUCAUAUUAUAAUUGGUAGAAAAAUUGGCUAAUGAGUGUUGCAUCAUUCCACUUGAUAUCUGUCACUAAUUGUCAAAAUUAUAAAGCAUAUAACGUCAUUGAUCGAUUAUCUUGUUAUAAGAUAUGAAUCUUAUUAAUUGAAGUAUAGAUUGAAUUAUGUUCUCUAUACAUAGAUCAAAAUUCCGCUAAGAAUACUUCCAAAUUAUCUAAUAUUAGAUCAUAUCAUUCAAAAAAUGAUGAAAACCAUAAUAAAGUAAAAUUUGAAAGUAGUGUUUUAAUAAAUCUGACUUGUGAUCCUUGAAUUGGAUAACUUUGAGGUUAUAGUUCAAUCACUAGUUAUACCUAAUUGAUGAAUCCUCAAAACUUAGAUCUAAUGCCAUCAAAAUUUUUAAGCAAUCCAAUUUUUAGUUCCUUAAAACUCAAAUGAUGUUCUAUUGUAGGAGCAAUAGUAUAGCUUGGUGUAGAUGUUGAAGCAACUCCAAUCAUCUCUAUAUCUUCAUUUCUUGUUGCUCCUUGUAAUAGUAGACUGAGUUGAUGCAUUACAAGCAUUAACUCUCUCAUUUGCUGUUCCAUUUGAGCCAUUGCACUCUUCAUUUCAGCAAGCUCUACCAUGCUAACAUAAUAAAAAGAAAGGUGUCUAUUUUCACAAAAUAUAAUACUCAAGAAUCAAAAAAUAAUAAUUCUAGGAAUAAUAUUAUUUUAGUAGAGGAUAAUCCACAACUUCUAAUAUGCAUAUAUCUUAUUAAGAAAAAGCAGUAAUCCACUUUUAAUUAAGAAAGGACAAAGCUCUAAUAUUACAUAUGUACUCUUGUCAAUCAGUCAAGGACAUAAACUAAAAGAAGAUACAUAAACUCAUAGAAUCCAUAUCAAAAGAAAAGUGAUAAAAUAGAAGAAAAUAUGUAUAUUCAAAGAAGAACUAGAAUGGCUAUUGCUAAAGACUAGAAAACAUAAGACUCUUGAAACUAGAAUAAAAGUAAGAAAGGAGUUGAUAAGAGUGAGGAAGUCCUCACUUUUGCCUCUAUGCAUACUAUUUAACUAAGAACUAUAUAACGACAUGCUAUAAGACCUCUAAUACGUAUUCAACUUGCACAUAAUAUGUCUAAUUUACAAGACAAGUUUCCUAGGUGUGCGCCAUAUGUCCAACUUGUACUACAAGUCGUCAACAUGUCGACAAGUGGUAUCCUUGUUGGCCAAGUUUUCAACCUAUCAAUCACCUAUAAAGGCAAAGCAGCAUCUAUGAAGUUGCUAAGAAGCUCUCUAUAAGAUAUUAUCAUAUUUAUUUACUUUGACUUACUUCUACCUAUUUUUAUUAUUUAGAUAAUUAUCACGAUAAAUAUGUAUGCCCGUCAUACAAUGGUGGUUGAACUCUUUUUUGAAGAUCAAUAGAAUAAUCAUAAGGAUGAUGCUUUAAAAGAAUAUGUGUAUUUUUUUUUCAAAAAAUUUCUUAAUAAUCUUGGUAUUGGCUUAGAAUGCUAGUUUAAAUCUUUUUUCUAUCAACAAUAGGUAGUAUAUAUAACAAAAUUUGUUUUUUUCUUUUUCAAGUACAUAAGUGCUGUGUGGAAUUGUUAGCAAAUUUUUGAAUGACAAGGGAUCUUUUGCCCUCAACUUGACAUACUCUAAGUAAGUUUUUCUUUCAUAAUCACCCUCUAAGCACAUCUCUUAGCACCUAAAUUUCUAUAUUAUCACUCAUUCGUCUUAUUAUCAUUAAUUAAUAUUAUUUAAUAAUUUCAAAGAACUUUUAUUUUACUUAGAAAUUAAUCUUAAAUUCUUAUCUUUCCAUCCAUUCUUAUCCUUAUGGAUAAAAAUAAAUAAAAAAUAAAAUAAAAUGAAAAUAAAUAAAAAUUAUUCUAAUCUUUUAAUUUUUUCUUAUUUCUUUUAAUCUUAACCUUUCAACUUUAACUUUUAAUCUUCAACUUUAAACUUUUAUUUUUAACCUUCAACUUUUAUUUUUGUUACUUUUAAACUUUUACUUAACUUUUAAUUAUUAAUUCUAACUUAAAUUUUAAUUUAUUUAUUUUAUUUUAUUUUAUUAUUUUAAUUUUUUAAUCUUCCAACUUUCAUCUUUUAACUUAAAAAAAUCUUAACAUCAUGUUAGUACUGAAUUUAAAUAUUUAAGGCUAUUUAUUAUUGAAUUUCUAAUUCUAGAUGAAGUUUUGUCAUAAAUACUUCAUCCAUAGAUAAAUUCUUAUAUAGAACUCCUAUUUACAUGAUUAAUACUACCUUAGAAAUUCCUAGACUAGCACUCCAACAUAGUAUUCAUUGUUUUUAUUUUAUUUUAUUCUAAUUCAUAAUUUUCAGAGUGUAAGUUUGAUAGAAUAAGUCCUGGAAGGCACUUAACUAAAUGAACUACAAAUGCUAAAAAUUAAAUCAUAAAAAAAUAUAACUAAUCUUUAUAUUAUUGGAUUAAUCUUGAUUAUUAUCUCAUUUUGGUUUUCCUAUCUUAUAGAUGAUUUGCAUCUCUAUAUUUAUUAGUAUUGGACUCUAAUCUAAGUUACAAUCUAAUUAAAUCAAAUUUGAGUGAAGGGAGAAAAAUCCACUCACAUCAAGCUACUUAUAGCAAUUGCCAUCUUCUUGGACUUAGAUAAAUCCAUUAUCUAAGCUACCAUGUCAAUAGCAUUAUAUUGAUAAAGUAUCUUAUUGCAUUUCUCAACUUCAACAAGUACUUGUGCCAAUUUUGCCUUACCAUCAUAGUUGAAAAUAAUUCUUGAUGUGACUAAAUUCAAGAGACCUUUGUUAAUAUUACAUAAAGAAAUCUUAACAAGUUGACUCUUAGCAAAUAUAUCCCUUGAUUCUAUUACAGAUUAAAUCAAAUAAGUAUUUAUUAUAUAUAAAAUAUCUUCUUAUUUACAAUAGAAGUUUUGAAUGCAUUAUAUUUGAUCAUGCCUAAAACCUCCAUACUCAUGCUUUAAGUACUUAAUAAACAUUGGAGAAGUUCAAAUGAUGGUGGAUCUUUUAUUGCAAAUAAAACUAUAUUCAUUGUUUGAGCCAUGCAAGACAAAAUAGUUAAAGUAUUAGUUAAAGAAGAAACUAUUUUUUUUUUCCUUCGAUAUCUUCCAAAGAUAUAUCAAUUUUUCCUUAGAUUGAAUCUUCUUCUUUUACCAUAAGCAUGAAGCUUGAAAUAGUAUUCUCCUUAAGAGUUGAAAUAAGUUCUAUGUAUGCUUCUCAAUAAUGUUCUACUUCAUGUAACUCAAAUGAUUGUUCCUCAUUCUAUUUUCCAUAGGUUUGGAGCACCUCGUGCUCUAAGUGUUAUGAUAAGAAUUUAAAUACAUAUCACUCAUUGAAAGUAAGAGAUCUUUGAUGCUUCUUUUUCAUCCAAAGGUAAAAGAUAUUGAUAAUAUCAACUCUUAAUAUACACCAUAAAAUGAAUACUCGGGUACCUACAACUAUCUAAUAGCUAAAAAAAAAACAUGUGCUUACAAAACUAAUAAGCUUUGUAUUUCAUUGGCAAUCACAUCUGGAUUACUAUAUAUCCAAUAUAUCUAUAAAUAGAAAGAUCUUGUCAGCCAUCAAUCCAACCUCAUCUCUAUAAUAUACUUAUCAAUACAAAUUAGUACAAAUAUAAAAUAGAAUAACCAUAGAAAACCUCCAUGAAUAAUAUCCGUAAUUAAAAGAAGGUAGCAAAAAUAAAAUCUAAAUAUCUAUAUUGGAUCCUCAUCUCUAACAACACAUAAGAAAAAAUCAAAAGUAAAUUAGAGCAAUUGAUAAUUUUUUAUAGUUGAUAUUCACAAAUUCAAAACCUAUGACAAUAAAAGAGAAUUGUAAUAAAAUGAAAUAUAGAGAAAUAAAAGAAAAUAAAAAAAUUUACUUAAAAAUCAAUUAGAAUUUAAUAAAUGCCACUUUAAUGCUCCAAAUAACCUCCAUUCUAAAAAUUAAGCAUGCCAAUGAAUUCUUUGAGCCUCUUGCAUAUAAAAUUGAUUCAAAAAUAAUCAAAUUUGGACUCCAUAUGCAUUGAGAGUGAACUUCUAAACUUAAUAUUUAAAGAUUCUGAAUAUAUAUAUAUAUAUAUUUUUUUUAAUAUUCUAUAAUUACAUAAUAAGGCCUAUGACCACAAAUUUGUCACUAAGGUCUUAUGACCACAAACCUUGUCACUGUAUGUCUAUGACCAUAGAAAACCUAUUAUUGUGGACUUAUGAUCGUGUAAUGAUAGUUUGAGCUAUUGUUUGUUAUUGUGGAUCUUUGAUGUUUUUCUUAAACUCAUACUAAGCCUUUGCAUUAAAUUGCCUCAAGUCAAGUAUCUCAAAACAACCUCAAUGUCACUUUCAAUGCCAAAAAUCAAGAAUAUAGUGCCUUAUUGAAAUCAAAAUAAGUCUUGUAAUAAACCUUAUAAUUUAAAAAGAAUAAUAAUCAAUAAUGUAACUUUAUAGCUCCGUCUUACCAUUUUGCCUUGUAUUAUUUUUUUAUGACUAAGCUCCAUAAUCCAAACUAGCCACCUAUGUAAAUUGCAACUUUGUGCUAUAACUAUGGCUCUCUUGUAAUCCUCAUGUAUAACAAUAUGAUCUCAGUUCAAUAUAUUCUAUGUGAUAAUGCAACCUAGCAUAAUUCCAGUCUAAAAUCUUAUAUUGUAUAAUACUUGUAAUGACCAAUACGGCCAUAUAUAAUAGUAUGGUCGUACAACCCAGCUAGAUUUUGGUACCUAAUAUAAUGGUAUCUAAAACCUAAUAGCAAAACAAACCCAAAUUAUAAUUUUUUUUUUUGAUAUUUUUUUUUUUUUAUCCUCUUCAUUUUAACUUGCUAUACUAUAAAUUAAAGAAAAGAAGAGAUACUUAUCAAGUAAAAGAUUAGAAAUCUAUACCAAACUAAGUCAAGUUAUCUUUUAUACCAUGAAAGGAAAAUCCAAGAAUGCAAGUAUGAAAAUAAAAAAAAUCCUAAACCUUUACUAAAAUGGCUAAAAUACCAAAGCCAAGUAAAUCCUUACAACUGUCACGGACACAAAAUACAGACUUGAAAUCUAACAAGAAGUUCAAGAAGAAAUGGCAAAACUAGAUUAAACAGAUGAGUACAAGAACAACACCAGAAAGGUGAGCUAGAACUCCAAGAGAUGUGUUGUCGAGACUGAAGAACUCUUCAGCCUCGAUCCCUAUAUAUACUCCUACUUAGGAAGCUUCUCCAGCUACUUCUAUUAACUAGGAAGCUUCUAGAAGGUUCCAGAGGCUUCCUUUCUAGAAGGUUCUAGAAACUUCUUGAGCUACUUCUAUUAACUAGGAAGCUUCUAGAAAAUUCUAAGGGAUUCCUUUCUAAAAGCUUCUAGAAACUUCUCUCUAAAAGGUUCUAGAGGCUUCUCUUCUAGAAGGUUCCAGAGGCUUGUUUUCUAAAAGGUUCUAGAAACUUCUCUCUAGAAAGUUCUAAGGAAUAUGUCCCUAACAUCACCCCCUCCUUUAGCUUCGAGGUCUCUGAGAAGCAAUGUUGUUGAUCAGUACCAACGCAAGAAAAUGAAGACCUGUCGCAUAACUUCUGCUAUGAACUCCAACUGUUGUUCACGAGGCAAGUGGUUCAUCGACCCUUGAAGCCAACGGUAGUGGCCCAUGCCUUCGACUUCUGACCAAGCAUGAACUUCCGUGUCCUCAUUGUGAAAUUGUCUUGCAAACAUGCCUUCUGAUUGACCAUCGUAAAUAGGCUCGAUCUCAAAUACAAUCACCAGUGAUCGAUUACUCGGUAUCCUCCGUCGUCGUCGUGGUACAUGUAGUUCUUCAUCUCGGGGUCGCCUUUGUGAGCUACUCGGUUGCGAUACUCUGACUGGCAUAGUAUCUAUCUCUUGGCUAUCCAUAUCAAAAGACCAAACUACGAUCUAUCUUGGAGAAAAUAACUACAUCAACUAUGAAUUUUGCUGGUACUCUCCCCUUUUCUUAUAUUGUUGGGAGAACAAGCUUCAGAAAGAAGCUAUCAUCGAAUUGAUUUAAGUUUAUCGGGAUGUCGUUGAUGAAAUUCAUGUACCUUUUGUGGCGCAUUCGCAAGAUUUUCAACUGGCUCCCACGUUCGCUCAUUAAUGUCAUAGCCGCACCAAUGAACAAGAUAUUCUAACUUUCUCCACCUUCGUCGUGAAUCCAAUACAUUUUCAACCUUGUAUUUUUCAUGGUUCUCGAUUUCAAUACUAGGUGGCGGACAUUGCACUCUUUCAAGAAAAGAUGACUCUCGAUAAGGUUCCAACAGAGAAACAUGAAAGACUGGAUGUACCUUCAUAGAAGCCGAUAACUCCAGCCGGUAUGCCACUGGAUUAAUUUGCUUCUGGAUGAUAAAUGGUCCCAAUCUUCGAUAGUCCAACUUAUCACAUGGUCGCUUGGUCUUGAUAUUUUGUCGAAGAAGCCAGGCUUUGUCUCCAACUUUGAAAGUAGGUGCUGGAUUCCGAAAUCUAUCUGCAGACGUCUUAUAGGAUUCUUGAGCGGAUUGUAAUUGAAGCUUCAACAUAGUUUGAAGCUCUGAUAGUUGCUUCGCAAAUCCUUCAGCUGUUGGAUUGUUAUUUGUUGACGGACUCAAUAAAUUAAGCUUCGAAUGAUACCCAUAGUUGGAAAAGAAUGGUGUUUGUUGAGUCGACGCAUGGAAGGUGUUGUUAUAUGCAAACUCGACUAGCGGUAGAUACGCAGUCCAAUCGUCUUGCUGAUAGUUGAUGCUGCAUCGUAAGUACUGCUCCAAGACUUGGUUCACCCGUUCCGUUUAGCCAUCAGUUUGAGGAUGAAAAGCUGAAGAAAGCUUGAUAUCCACCUUCAAUAUCCCAAAGAGAGAUCUCCAAAACUUUGACACAAACUGGGUACCUCGAUCUGAUAUGAUAUCAUCUGGUAGUCCAUGAUAUCGAUAUACAUUAUCGAGAAAGAGUCUUGCUGUGACUUCACUGGAUGAUGUCUUCUUACAAGGAACAAAGUGUGCCAUCUUUGUAAGCCGAUCUACCACGACAAAGAUGCUGUCAAAUGAGUUUGAUGAUGGCAAGUCCGUGAUGAAGUCCAUAGAAAUUGAAGACCAUGGUUGACGUGGAAUUGGCAAUGGCUGUAGAAGUCCAUAAGGGCGAUGCUGAGGAUUCUUAGAUCUUGAACAGAUGUCACAAGAGAGGACAAAAUCUUUCACAUCCUUCCACAUUUGGGGCCACCAAAAAUCUCGAGAAAUAAGCUCCAAGGUCUUGUUGAAUCCAAAAUGUCCCGCAACUCAAAAAUCAUGGCGAGAUUGAAGAACUCGGAGUCGUGCUAGUCCUUUUAGAAUGUACAAUCGCUCUUCAAAGUAUAAAAGAUCUCCCUCCACCUUGAACUUGUCGUCAUUGGUACGUUGCUUGAUAUCAAUGGCUACUGAAUCUUUAAUGGUCAUUGCACGUACCUGGUUUAGGAAGUCAGCAUCAAAUGAUACAAUAGUAGCACAAAGUUGAAAUCUCUCUGGCUUCAAUAACGUUGUACAUUGUUGAUCAAACGCUCCUUCUCCAGCCUUUGGUGCAAGAUACGAUCUCCUUGAUAAAGCAUCAGAUAGUCCUUGCUGCCUUUCAGGUCGAUAAGUGAUAACAAAAUCGAAUCUAGAUAACGACAUAUUCCACCGAGCUUGAUGCCGAUUUAAAACUCGAGCCAUCAUGAAAUACUCCAAAUUCUUGUGAUCCGUAUAUACGGUUACUAGAUGUGCAGCUCCUUCAAGAAAGUGACGCCAUUCUUCGAAAGAAUCCACUAUAGCAAGAAGUUCCUUAUCGUAGAUCUCAUAAUUGAUUUCAGCAGCAGAGAACUUUCGAGAAUAGAAUGCAACUGGAUGGAGCUUCUUAUCUUCACUCAUUUGUGAAAGCACAGCUCCCAAAGCAAAAUCUGAAGCAUCAGUUUCUAAAUAGAAGGCCUUUGUAAAGUCUGGAUGUACCAAAAUUGGAGCUGUAGUAAAUGUUGUCUUCAAAUCUUGAAACGCCUUCUCCGCCAAAGGUCCCCAUUCCAACUUAUCCUUGCAUGUUAAUCGAGUGAGAGGAGCAGCAACUUGAGAAUAAUUCUUGAUGAAGAUCCGAUAGAAGUUAGCAAAACCAAGAAAGCAUUGUACGUCUCUAACCGUCUUCGGAACCUCCCAAGACAUGAUUGCUUCUACUUUCUUACGGUCCAUCUUCAAACCUUCUGUAGUCGCAAUGAACCCCAAAAAUUCCAUCUCCGUCUGGUGAAAUAAACACUUUUCUAAUUUGGCAUAUAGUCCUCGCUUGCGUAGUUUCUCCAAGACCAAACAAA